GCCAGCCUCCGAACGGCGAGCCCAGGUGUAAGCUUCCUGAUGGCAGGAUUCUCUUGUGUUUUGUUCCUCACUGUGCCCCCUGCCUCUGGGACAGCGCCUGGCACAUAGUGGAGUGAAAGAGUGCCGCCCAAAAAUGGCCCUCAGCAUGGCUUCAGAAAUUGAGACCCCGGCCUGGGAUGGUGGCUCACGUCUACAAUCCCAGCACUUUGGGAGGCCGAGGCGGACGGAUCACGAGGUCAAGAGAUCGAUACCAUCCUGGCCAACAUGGUGAAACCCCGUCUCUACUAAAAAUACAAAAAUUAGCUGGGCGUGGUGGCAGGCGCCUGUAGUCCCAGCUACUCAGGAGGCUGAGGCAGGAGAAUCGCUUGAACCAGGGAGGCAGAGGUUGCAGUGAGCCGAGAUUGUGCCACUGCAUUCCGGCCUGGUGACAGAGUGAGACUUCGUCUCAAAAAAAAAAAAAAAGACAAAAAAAAAAGAAAUUGAGACCCCGGCCUGGGAUGAUGGCUCACGCCUAUAAUCUCAGCACUUUGGGAGGCUGAGGCAAGAGGAUUGCUUGAGCCCGGGAGGUAGAGGCUGCAUUCAGCAGUGAGGGCAUCACUGCACUCCAGCCUGGGUGACAUAGUGAGACCCUGUCUCAAAAAAAAAAAAAAAAAAAGGCAAGAAAGAAAGGAAUCGUGAUCCACAGCUGCUGCAAUGAUUCAAUUAGUGUAAGACCACCUCCUCUUCCUUCAUCAUUCCCUCCAGCUAAGAUGAGGGUGGAGCCAGUAGCUGGGAAGUUGGCUUGCCAGUAGGUCAUCUGGAGAAGUAAUCCUGCCAAGAUCACACCACAGGGCCUGUCCUGUGACCUGUUUUGACCAAGAGAAUACAUCAAAAGUGUCUCUGGGCCUGGUCUGGGCACAGGCUUAAAGUCUGACACCUUCCACUUUCAUGACUGGGGUGUCCGGAGCCAUCAUAUUAGACGUCCACCUGCCUUCCAUCAUAUGUUGAGGAGGAGUCUGCAACUAUGUGGAGAGGGGAUUCUCAGCAUUCCAGAUGACCUGCCUACUGAAUGCAGCCAUGUGAAGACCAGCAGAAGAACCACACAGCUGAGCCUCAACCCAGAUAGCAGAAUUGUAAACAAAUAACAUGGUUGUUCUUUUAAGCCACUAAAUUCUGGGGCAGUUUAUUAUGUAGCAACAGGUAAUGGAAACACAUUUGCUUCCCCCUGUAGCCACAAUCUGCUGACACUCAGCAGCAGCCACUGUCUUUAGAUGGCAGACACUUUCUAGCUUUCCUAAACCCUCCCCACUCACUAUUGUCUUAUUUUUGUUAUCAUAGAGAAAAUUCUCCAUAUCUGCAUAGUCCAG
rnacentral:lncRNA from 10 species